GAUGAACGCUGGCGGCGUGCCUAACACAUGCAAGUCGAGCGAAGCACUUACUUUAGAUUUCUUCGGAAUGACGAAGUUUGUGACUGAGCGGCGGACGGGUGAGUAACGCGUGGGCAACCUGCCCUGUACAGGGGGAUAACAGUUAGAAAUGACUGCUAAUACCGCAUAAGCCCACAGCUUCGCAUGAAGCAGUGGGAAAAACUCCGGUGGUACAGGAUGGGCCCGCGUCUGAUUAGCUAGUUGGUAAGGUAACGGCUUACCAAGGCGACGAUCAGUAGCCGAACUGAGAGGGUGACCGGCCACAUUGGGACUGAGACACGGCCCAAACUCCUACGGGAGGCAGCAGUGGGGAAUAUUGCACAAUGGGGGAAACCCUGAUGCAGCGACGCCGCGUGAGCGAUGAAGUAUUUCGGUAUGUAAAGCUCUAUCAGCAGGGAAGAAAGUGACGGUACCUGACUAAGAAGCCCCGGCUAACUACGUG
rnacentral:rRNA from 1 species